AACGAACGCUGGCGGCGUGGCUAAGACAUGCAAGUCGAACGAUACGUUGUAGCAAUAUGGCGUAUAGUGGCGGACGGGUGAGUAAUGAAUAGGUAACGUACCCCGGGCACAGGAAUAGCGUCGGGUCCCGGCAAGGGAUCCUUUGCGAAAGUGACGGUAAUACCUGGUGACGUCAUCGAGGGGCCUCUCUUGAUGAUCAUAGGGUGGGGACCUUCGGGCCUAUCGGCCUGGGAGCGGCCUAUUUCCUAUCAGCUUGUUGGUGAGGUAACGGCUCACCAAGGCAACGACGGGUAACCGGACUGAGAGGUUGGCCGGUCACAUCGGGACUGAGACACUGCCCGGACAUCUACGGAUGGCUGCAGUAACGAAUUAUUCCGCAAUGGGCGCAAGCCUGACGGAGCGACGCCGCGUGGAGGACGAA
rnacentral:rRNA from 1 species